rnacentral:rRNA from 1 species
AGAGUUUGAUCCUGGCUCAGGACGAACGCUGGCGGCGCGCUUAACACAUGCAAGUCGAGCGAGAACCAGUCCUUCGGGGCUGGGGACAGCGGCGAACGGGUGAGUAACACGUGGGUAAUCUGCCCUCGGCACCGGAAUAGCCCGGGGAAACCCGGAUUAAUGCCGGAUGGCCUCUCUGCCCCUCGGGGCGGCGAGAAAAGGUAGCUUCGGCCUCCGGCCGAGGAUGAGCCCGCGGCCGAUUAGCUUGUUGGUGAGGUAACGGCUCACCAAGGCGACGAUCGGUAGCUGGUCUGAGAGGACGAUCAGCCACACUGGGACUGAGACACGGCCCAGACUCCUACGGGAGGCAGCAGUGGGGAAUCUUGCGCAAUGGGCGAAAGCCUGACGCAGCGACGCCGCGUGCGGGAAGAAGGCCUUCGGGUUGUAAACCGCUUUCAGGAGGGACGAAGCCACUCGGGUUAAUAGCCUAGAGGGUGACGGUACCUCCAGAAGAAGCCCCGGCUAACUACGUGCCAGCAGCCGCGGUA